ACGGAAGGCAGCAGUAGGGAAUCUUCGGCAAUGGGGGCAACCCUGACCGAGCAACGCCGCGUGAGUGAAGAAGGUUUUCGGAUCGUAAAGCUCUGUUGUAAGAGAAGAACGUGUGUGAGAGUGGAAAGUUCACACAGUGACGGUAACUUACCAGAAAGGGACGGCUAACUACGUGCCAGCAGCCGCGGUAAUACGUAGGUCCCGAGCGUUGUCCGGAUUUAUUGGGCGUAAAGGGAGCGCAGGCGGUUUAAUAAGUCUGAAGUUAAAGGCAGUGGCUUAACUAUUGUUCGCUUUGGAAACUGUUAGACUUGAGUGCAGAAGGGGAGAGUGGAAUUCCAUGUGUAGCGGUGAAAUGCGUAGAUAUAUGGAGGAACACCGGUGGCGAAAGCGGCCCUCUGGUCUGUAACUAACGCUGAGGCUCGAAAGCGUGGGGAGCAUACAGGAUUAGAUACCCUGGUA
rnacentral:rRNA from 1 species